rnacentral:lncRNA from 1 species
ACUCCAGGUUCCUGUCUGCAAGCACCUCUUGACCACAGGAACAGUGUCUGGUUUGGUUUCUUCAGACAGGAUGGAUCCCCAGUGUGGGAUCCUAUCUGAUAAAGUCAUUUCUCGCACAGUGAGAGGAGCAUUGGAUCAUCAGAGAUUCAUGUUCUGUAGUACCAAGAAGCAUUUGUGAACUCCGAAAGACCAAUCAGGUGCCGAUCCGAUCCGAUCCAAUCACACAAGAGUCUUUAUUCAUAAGUUCAAACUCGGGCUUAAGUCAUGCUGACACACAGGAUGGUUUCGGUGGAUAAAAGCCCCAAACACUCCUCAGGACAAGAUUUUAUAGGAAAUAUCAAGAGAAGGUAUUCCAUUACAGCAGCCAGAAUCUAGCACUUCAGAAACAAAGUACCAGAGAAACAAAUGGGCAGCAAACAUCAACUCUGAAAUACAUUGUCUCUGAUCUAUGCAGCUUGGAUAGUGAAUUUCUUUCCAUAAAUAGUUAAUAAGAUAUCAGCUCUAAUGACAAGAAUAAACUGUUAAACCAAUUCAUUUAGUGUUUUAUAGAUAGGAAACAACACAAAGACCUACAACUGGUCAAGGCAUAGAGGGAACAAGAGGCUAAGGAAUACUCAACACUAACUGGAACAUAUAUAUUCCAUCUCCUCCUAUUAAGGUUGAAAGAUCAUUGCAGAAUAAGUUUUCACAUUAAAAUAUUUGGUGCACAAUUUAAAAAGAAAGGUCAUGGGAAGGAAUAUCCAGAGGAUGAUACUUUGCCCGAGGAAAAUGUACAGCUCAUUGCCUACAUUAAAUGACUCUGCAACUGCACGAGAACUUAAGAGAUGGUACUCACCACUCGAAUAUAAGGAGCAAACAGCCAAGCUUUGUGCUUGUUUUUAUAUUUUUCCACAAAUUGCUUGGUUUUUUUUUCCCUAAUAUGUUCAACAACAGUUAAACAUUACCAGAAAAUAAAUUAUUACUCACCAUC